rnacentral:lncRNA from 1 species
UCUUUCACAACAUGAAAAUGAUCUUAGGUCCACCCUACAUUUUGGAUGUUUUGUCUCUUUGUCUGAGGAGUUAGAUUUCUAGCCAGGAAUAUGAAGGAGAGACUUUGGGUUUUUCUAUUAAGGUGAAUAUGAAUGAGAUGUAGAGUUCUACUCAGGGUCAAAAUCAUGUCAAUUAUCAAGCAAAGGAGCAACUAUGGGCGUACAUCCCCUCCCCCGAUUAGUUGAGCUACCUGCCAUCCAUUGACCAACUCAGACCUGAGCAAGAUUCUAAAUUUCUUCCUCCAUAUCUCAUUGGUGGCAGAGGUGUUUAUACCACUGAUGUGACAAACAAAUCCUUCCCUCUUCCAUAGCCUCACUGCUUCCACAUUUGUUCAUGCUCAUAUCAUCUCUCAUGGGGCCCAUUGGAUUUGCUUCAGCAGCUUCUGUGGGCCACCCUUCAUAUUCACAUCCUGCUAGAAGAUUUUAAUGGGCAAGCUUCAUUGUUCCGUCUCCUAGUUGUAACUUUCCAUGGCACCUAAGGUUGAUUAAGUCCGAGUCAGCCAUAGGAGUCCUUCACAGUCUGGCUUCUGCCACGCAGCCCUAUAUCAUCUCCCAUCCUCAUCAUUCAUUCCAAUCUCAUGAUUUUAUGUUUUCCAACUAUAUCAUACCAGUGCUAUCAAAC